rnacentral:snRNA from 1 species
AUACUUACCUGGCAGGGGAGGUACCAUGAUCACGAAGGUGGUUUUCCCAGGGCGAGGCUUAUCCAUUGCACUCCAGAUGUGCUGACCCCUGCGAUUUCCCCAAAUGUGGGAAACUCGACUGCAUAAUUUGUGGUAGUGGGGGACUGCGUUCNNN